AGACUUUGAGAUACCAUGUCUGUAGAGAUUUGCUACACAGCUGCUGUCAGAAGAGCUGCCUCUGUCCUCACCUGCAGCAGUGACACCUCUCCGCUCAGGAAGCAUUGCAAAUCCUUGGCACGAGCAACCAAAUGGCUACAGUCAGCAGUCCCUGGGAGCGCCCAGCUGCACAGCAGACAGCUAACAAUACGGCCAUGGCCCCUUGCUCAGGUGUGCCCUAAUGAGACUGUUCACCAAGACCAACAACCAGAAGAUCUAUAAGUCUAUAGUCCAGUUGGCCUGGUUGCUCAGUAGGUGGUUUUCAUGGUGUGUGAGUAAGCACCUGCAGACCCAUAAGAGACAAAGCAUAACAAAGGAUGACCAUGGCUACCUAACCAAGCUGCACUGCUAAUGCUACUGCGAAAGAAGCACUGUACUGUGUAGUUUAUUUAUGCUUUGCUUUACUGCAUGUGCCCUAAGAACAAAAACCAGACACCAGCAAUUCACUGCUGUAGGAUCCUCAGAAGAGAUAAAGCAUCCAGCAGAGUUCUCAAGCAUGCUGAACUCCUGCAGACAAGUGAGGACUGAUCAGGACUAAAACUGCACUAAAAUUUUCUCUCUAACACACUUUUUACAGCAUGGCCUCUUCUGAGACAGAGCUGAGCCCCCUGUUCCUAUAGCAGCAAGCAGAGGGCACAGACAAAGCCAUUCUCCUGAAUUCCCCCUUUCAUGUUGCAGCAACAAAGCAGCUCACAGGGAGCAGCAGGCAUCCUAAGAGGCUGUUCAAGGGCAGGACUGCUAAGUCCUGAGGGGACCUGUCACCUUAAACUGCCUGAGACCUGCAAGUCCUAAGCUAGUUCUUGCACAGCAUUAUGACUGCAGAACAGCUACUGCACUUUUGCAGCGAGCUCCCAUCCUCACAGUCCAGGGCUGCAGGGAUGCACAAACUUCACCAUGCCAAGGCCUGGAUGCUCCAUAAACCCAGCACGCAGUGGUGCAGUCACGAAGCCACAAGGAUCAGAGCAGUGCAGAAGGCACAGGAUUGCCACCAAGGACUGUGGAGGCAGAAGUACUCGAUUCACUCAAUAAAGGAUGAAAGUUGCAUCAACUCCAGAGACCCUACUCCAGGGCGUAGGACAAACCUCUUUUCAGCACUGAAUGUGGGGAGGACAGCCAGGAGCUGGCUUGAAGGCUGCUUGCACACCGGGGGGUCACAGCUUCGGCUCAGCAGGGCUGUUUGUUCUCUGCCUUGAUCUUCAUCCCUCAGCUGUGCUGAAAGGAAGUUUGUCCGAGACAAGCGUGUAUGGCACACAAUGUCAGCUCCAAAGCAAGCUGCGAGGAAACAGAUUGAGUUCUCUGUGCAAACCAACUGCAAAUCCAUUCCUUGGUGGCUUCACUUGUGGGACACUUCAAAGGCACCAAGCAUCCACGACGCAGCUGCUGCCCUGGGGAAGGAGUCGUUGAAUAGCAUCCGUGAAUGAGAAGUAAAAAUUAAGCAGUUAGAUUUGGCACGUGCAUCACAAUAAAGAUCCCUGAAUGCUUAGCUUCUUAC
ensembl:lncRNA